CUGCCUAGUAGUGGGGGAUAGCUCGGGGAAACUCGAAUUAAUACCGCAUACGACCUACGGGUGAAAGGGGGCGCAAGCUCUUGCUAUUAGAUGAGCCUAAAUCAGAUUAGCUAGUUGGUGGGGUAAAGGCCCACCAAGGCGACGAUCUGUAACUGGUCUGAGAGGAUGAUCAGUCACACCGGAACUGAGACACGGUCCGGACUCCUACGGGAGGCAGCAGUGGGGAAUAUUGGACAAUGGGGGCAACCCUGAUCCAGCCAUGCCGCGUGUGUGAAGAAGGCCUUUUGGUUGUAAAGCACUUUAAGCAGGGAGGAGAGGCUAAUGGUUAAUACCCAUUAGAUUAGACGUUACCUGCAGAAUAAGCACCGGCUAACUCUGUGCCAGCAGCCGCGGUAAUACAGAGGGUGCGAGCGUUAAUCGGAAUUACUGGGCGUAAAGCGAGUGUAGGUGGCUCAUUAAGUCACAUGUGAAAUCCCCGGGCUUAACCUGGGAACUGCAUGUGAUACUGGUGGUGCUAGAAUAUGUGAGAGGGA
rnacentral:rRNA from 1 species